CGGGGUUAAUAGUUACUUAAGGUCUCCGCAGAGCGAAUGAGGCCACUGCGUGUGUUGCUUCUAGUGACUGACGAUGAGAUGGUGGCUACCGAAGGAAUUCCUCUUCCUGGCACCUGGAGUUAUAGCGCCAUAUUUUAGGAAUUGCUGCACUGUCUAGCGUGGAUGGGAGUAUGAGAGAUUAAUUUCCUGCUAUGGGUGGUAGAUCCUUCUCCCCAUCUCCAUUCCUUCAGUGUGUCCAGAACGCUGCUCCCAGGAUCGCCUUGAGCUCCUAUCCCUUGCAUCUUUGCACUGGUUCGUUCCGAUCAAGCUUCUUGUCUUCUCCUUCUAAAGCAGGCUGCUCUCUGAUCUCCUUUCCUCCCAUGGGAUGUCCUAGCCUCUCUGCUCCACGCAAGAUUCUCUGACUGGUUCUUUUGUCUCCUUCACCCACUCCUAACUCCAUGUCCCAAGGCUGGGAAGAGCCACCUACUCAACACUCUCUAAAAGCUGGUCCGGGCCUCCAGGCUGCCCUCUUCCAUAAGGCCUAAAGUGCUAGACUGUGACUGCUCCCUUUCUGGUUCUGAUUUACCGUGGUGAAUAUGCACAAACCUGUCCAUUGAUAGGAUCCUGGACUAGCCUGGCAUUUUUUCCGUCUCCCUAAAAGCUAUGUGAAGAAACUCAUGGGAGGAGAUAAGUGGGGUUUUCGCUAAGUGCUCUUGCCAGAGGUGCAGUACCAGCAGGUGGGCAGGAAAGCCCAAGAAUCCUGCAGCAUACCAAAGCAUGCUAAUCCAGUUUUAAGAAUGAAGGAUUUUCCUUUGCCAGCUUUCCCUGUGCCAAUAAAAAACCCCUAGUGCCUGGAGACUUCACUA